rnacentral:rRNA from 1 species
UACGUAGGGUGCAAGCGUUGUCCGGAAUUAUUGGGCGUAAAGAGCUCGUAGGCGGUUUGUCGCGUCUGCUGUGAAAACUCGGGGCUUAACCCCGGGCCUGCAGUGGGUACGGGCAGACUAGAGUGCGGUAGGGGAGACUGGAAUUCCUGGUGUAGAGGUGAAAUUCGUAGAUAUCGGGAGGAACACCGGUGGCGAAGGCGGCGACCUGGUUCGAUACUGACACUGAGGUGCGAAAGCGUGGGGAGCAAACAGG